UUAAUGAGCUGUAUGAUGACAGAUUGGAACUGACAAUCCAAUGGUGGAGGGUCCAUUCAAUCCAACUCUGAACCUUUUGAG